rnacentral:rRNA from 1 species
GAUGAACGCUGGCGGCGUGCCUAAUACAUGCAAGUCGAGCGAACGGACGAGAAGCUUGCUUUUCUGAUGUUAGCGGCGGACGGGUGAGUAACACGUGGAUAACCUACCUAUAAGACUGGGAUAACUUCGGGAAACCGGAGCUAAUACCGGAUAAUAUUUUGAACCGCAUGGUUCAAAAGUGAAAGACGGUCUUGCUGUCACUUAUAGAUGGAUCCGCGCUGCAUUAGCUAGUUGGUAAGGUAACGGCUUACCAAGGCAACGAUGCAUAACCGACCUGAGAGGGUGAUCGGCCACACUGGAACUGAGACACGGUCCAGACUCCUACGGGAGGCAGCAGUAGGGAAUCUUCCGCAAUGGGCGAAAGCCUGACGGAGCAACGCCGCGUGAGUGAUGAAGGUCUUCGGAUCGUAAAACUCUGUUAUUAGGGAAGAACAUAUGUGUAAGUAACUGUGCACAUCUUGACGGUACCUAAUCAGAAAGCCACGGCUAACUACGUGCCAGCAGCCGCGGUAAUACGUAGGUGGCAAGCGUUAUCCGGAAUUAUUGGGCGUAAAGCGCGCGUAGGCGGUUUUUUAAGUCUGAUGUGAAAGCCCACGGCUCAACCGUGGAGGGUCAUUGGAAACUGGAAAACUUGAGUGCAGAAGAGGAAAGUGGAAUUCCAUGUGUAGCGGUGAAAUGCGCAGAGAUGUGGAGGAACACCAGUGGCGAAGGCGACUUUCUGGUCUGUAACUGACGCUGAUGUGCGAAAGCGUGGGGAUCAAACAGGAUUAGAUACCCUGGUAGUCCACGCCGUAAACGAUGAGUGCUAAGUGUUAGGGGGUUUCCGCCCCUUAGUGCUGCAGCUAACGCAUUAAGCACUCCGCCUGGGGAGUACGACCGCAAGGUUGAAACUCAAAGGAAUUGACGGGGGCCCGCACAAGCGGUGGAGCAUGUGGUUUAAUUCGAAGCAACGCGAAGAACCUUACCAAAUCUUGACAUCCUUUGACAACUCUAGAGAUAGAGCCUUCCCCUUCGGGGGACAAAGUGACAGGUGGUGCAUGGUUGUCGUCAGCUCGUGUCGUGAGAUGUUGGGUUAAGUCCCGCAACGAGCGCAACCCUUAAGCUUAGUUGCCAUCAUUAAGUUGGGCACUCUAAGUUGACUGCCGGUGACAAACCGGAGGAAGGUGGGGAUGACGUCAAAUCAUCAUGCCCCUUAUGAUUUGGGCUACACACGUGCUACAAUGGACAAUACAAAGGGCAGCGAAACCGCGAGGUCAAGCAAAUCCCAUAAAGUUGUUCUCAGUUCGGAUUGUAGUCUGCAACUCGACUACAUGAAGCUGGAAUCGCUAGUAAUCGUAGAUCAGCAUGCUACGGUGAAUACGUUCCCGGGUCU